ACCUACAAUGUACUGACAAAGGAACAGAAGGAAAGGAUGAUCUGAUGGCUAACACAAACAGCUAAAGAAUAUGGGAGAGCUGAACUAAGUUCCUGACUUCUCAACAAAGUGCCUCCUUAACAGCAAAUCUGUCCUACCCACAACAAGCAUCAGCUGCUUGUGCCAACUCUUUUUAAGGCUGUUAAUUAUUCUUUUCAGGUGAAGUCAAUAAUCCACUUGAAAAGGUCAAUAAAAAGAUGAUAAUUAUUCUUGCCCAUACCUGGGAUGAAGCAGUGCUGGACCUAGGUCCAGGCUGGGGAUGAGUGGCUGGGGAGCAGCUUGGCAAAAAGGGGCCAGGGACUGCAGUGAUCCUGGCACGAGCCAGCGGUGUGCCCUGGCAGCUGAGGGAGCAACCUGCAUUUUGGGGGGUGUUAAGCCCAGUGUAGCCAACUGCUCCAAGGAGCCCUGCAGUGGUCAGGCAGCUGGACCAGAUGAUCUUUGAAGGUCCCUUCCCCAGCUGAACAAUUCCAUCCCGGAAACGUCAAUGGGGUGUUGAGGUAGCUGCUGUUCCUCUGGCAAUGGUCCCCAGCCACCUCUAUCAGACUGAACGUAGAGUUUUCUGUUUGCAUGACUGAAGUCUAAAUGAAAGAAGAGUUGGCAGCCUCAGGAACGUGCCUCACAUUUUCCCUGGUUUCUGUGAGAAUGGGACAGAGCAAAGUGUGCAAGUGUGACCAUAAACUGCCAGUAGGUCUGAAGAACAUGUGAUGGGAUAACCUAAGCAGAAGCUUUGCUCAGCAAGAAGUCAAAGGCAUAUUAGAAGAUCGUCGUAGUCUUCUGUGAUGGACCUUGUUCUUGGAAUUUGUUGUCAACAAAAACACAG